GCAAGCCGCCCCGCUCCCCCCUCCGCCUAUCUUAAUAGUUGGCAGCCGGUCUCUAUGGCCAAUUAGCGUAGCGACGAGCCAAUAGAAACGUGAUGUCCACCUUUGAACGUCACCAUUUGCAAUCCACCCACAUGACCUUUUAUCUUUUAAAAAUACUCUGGGACGUGCGAUCGAAAAGCCUCAUGACCAACAACAAUGUCAACACUCUUUGUAUCAAGAAUAACCAAGGGGCUAUAAAGAGUGGGUGGACGAGAUAUCAUUUGUCUGCAUAUUUGAAGCCAUUUGGAACCUGCUUGGCCAGGUGAUGAAAACAAGCAUACUUGCGGUCAUAGCUGUGGAACUGUCCGUUGAUUCAUUUCCAAGCUGUGGGUCUGCGUUCCAAGGGUGUCAUCAGCAAUGCCACUGGUGGAACGUGUCUCCGCUGGAAGGUCCCUCUACAGAGCCCUCGGCACUCUAACCUCUUUACAAAGAGAAUGAACUGCAAGUUGUUUUGUCUUUAUUUCAGAGUCUUUUUUAGAAUAGCGUAUAUAUUCCUUUCCACGACAGCCACUCUUAAGUUGCAGGUUUAAACCAUUGAAAGGAAUUAAGGCAAGUGUGGAGAUGAAUGUGGGAUAUUGUCAUACAAUAGAGGUAGACUAAGAUGAAUGCGGCUGGAUCACAUGGAUGAAGAAAAGAGGCUCAAAAGCAAAUGAGAAACCAAUGCAAAGUUAAAGGAUAAAUCAAUGUACAAAAACUGGAGACUCUUAAGGCCAAGUCAGUUUGUGAAAUACUGCUCUGGUUUCCCAAGUAAAAAUUGGCAUAAUAUGCCAAGCAUGCCAACAUGAAACUCCUCGCCAAGGGAAAAGCUGUUGGCAUAUUUGCUGGUGUAUUUGGUGAACCAAAUAGAAAUAAGCCAUACAGUCCAAUACAUAGACAUGACGUAAUCAGUCAUGCUUUAAAAAUAUAGUCAACAAUUACAAUUAGGCAUAAUGUCAAACAGUAAUUAAGAAAAAGAAACAUAAAAUGUCAGCUCGUGAUCAUUUGCAUGUCUAUCUAAAACAACUGUCCUUUGUACUUGAGAGCAUCAUGUAUAGGAUAACGUCUCCUCCACAGACAGAAUGGGUGAAGCAGGUCGUUUUGGAUGAGUGUGGAUGGCUUUGAAAUAAAAUAACAUAACUUCAAUGUCCAUGGACAUGAACGGGAUGUUAUUGCACAGAGAGCUGCCAUUAAGGGAGAUCAAACAGUUGUGGCCUGUCAAGUUUCUGGCAAAGAUAGAGGUCACUGAUUGAUGAUGAUGUAAACAAAAAGCAACCUGUGCAUAUUCAGCUUUGACCAAAUAGACCUGUUGACAUCCCAACUGAUGACUCCUCGACAGCACCGCAUAUGUAACAUGAAAUGUUUCCUCUCCCGGUGAAGUGCUGAGCCGGGUGAGAGAGCAGCUCCCUUAAAAACACUGCUGUUGGCUCGGUUGGAAGAGGAGCUGCAGGAGGAAAAUCUACCAUUCUCACAAUGAUGUGGCCUUUGUGAAAGAGGGACUUGCAGCACAUCCUUCCAGAUGCUCAUCACAUGCACAAACGACACGUGGUGAUGACGGCAUUUGACUUGGCAACAUCUGCGACCAUGGAACAGUGUUUGUACAGAACACAGUGUAUUGCAUGUUAUAAGUGUGUAUGUAUUCAGUCUGUAACAGUAUUGCUAAAAGCAGCGGGUGCACCUAAUACAUGUCUUUGUAGAUCUCCUGUAGAAGAGGGUGGAGCGAGGUCUCCGAUUCAGUCUUUUUGAUCUUUUGGACAAGCUGAGCAUUCUCUGUAACAAGCUGCCGCAGGUCAGCCAUCUUCUGCAGCAGCUUGGGGAAGAGGUAGACGGAGUCAGAGUGGUUUGCUUGCAGGUGGAGGUCCAAGGCCUGGAGGAUGUUGUCCUGACUCUGCUCCACCUGUUUCACAUUCAUCAAGCCGGGCCGAUCUGAAGAGACAUGAGUCAAAAUUGAAAAGUCAAAAUGGUCAAACUAAUAUUUGAGAUGAGGAGUGGCUUCUCCCUCACCUCCACAGAGGAUAAUGGCAGCAACAAAAAGGGCCAGGUCACUGUCAUCCAGUUCCAAAGCGUUAAACUUGACAGCAAACUCAAACUUGGGUUCCAUGAUCUCAUUAAAAGGCUUUCUUAAGCUGCGCAGGAAUUCCCUCGUCACAAAGCCUUUACCAUUGGCCACCAAGAGUCCAUCUUUGUUCAUAAGAGAUGGCAGCAUGGCAAAAAUAGCCUCGUGCACGCCAUACUUCAGCAACGUCACCUACAGAGGAGCACACAGGAGUUAAUGUCUUCCACAAGGUCUUCUAAGACAACCUGCACAGUUUAGUUGUGAUCCAUUCAAUGUCCUGAGAAUACAGUGACCUGCAUGAAUGCUUUUCCAAGGCCGUACAGCUGCAUGAAGCAACAUGAGAUGAAGGCGACUCACCUGGUCGUUUAGGUAAAGGUCGACAAACCCUGGAAUGCUCUUGGCAAACUCUGUGAGCUCUCGCACGGUCUCCACUGUGGUGCACUGGCAGCGGUAGAAGACAUGGACUCCUAUCUCCUUGGUCAGGGGAGCGCCUGGAAGUAACUGGCUCCAGACCAAACCACUUUCAGCCUUCCAGAGGGUGUCCACGUCAUAGAUCACAAAUGGCUAAUGGCAGGACAAGAGUGGGACUCUUCAGGUAACGGAGUACAUGCAUUAUCUCACAAAGGACAGCACACCCCUCACAUUUCAGCCACCAUUGUUAUAACAGUUUGUCUACUCAAUUGGACGAGGGUUGGCAACACAUGGCUCCGGAGCCGCAUGCGUCUUAUCAGCCUUGUUGCUCUCUUCGCCGAGUGUUGCGAUUUUUUUUAACAAUGAAAUCGGGGAAAUGUACAUUUUCGUAAAGAAUGUAAAAUAACAGACUCAGCGCAAGUCUGUGAAUGCAUCUAGACUGUGUUCUGACGGCCGAUUGGAUGAGCAAGGUUGAGUCUGAGUUGAGUCUGAAACAAGUUACUGCAAAGUAACUGUAAAAUAAAACAAUGUAAUUAACGAGAAGUGCGCGGUAGCUAUGUGUCCGGAGCCUGUGAUAUGCUAAUCCAAAAGGUGGUGCCUCCGGGAGGAACAGAUAGUGUGCCACGGGAGCCAACGGUCCACUCACCGCUUGUGACUGCUAUGAAGCGGGGCAGACCUCUCGGCAGCAAGCGCAGAACAACAUGUGCUUUCACUUUUACGUUCUGUUACUAGUUGAUUUUGAUCAAAUAAAUCACCUAGUGGGUUUGGAAAGUUGCCAGAUUUAAAAAGGAAAUUGUCAAGUUGGCAACACACAUAAGUUCAUAAAAAUAUCAGAACAUCUUCUCUCCAAAAAUUACAUUAAUAUAAUUAAUAUUAAAGAAUAUUAAAGAAUGCCUCUCUCCUGAGAUAUAAACUCUCUGGCCUUGCCCGAGCUCUGCUUCCCCCGCCCUCCCCCAAGCACUUCUACGCUGUUUACUUGCAAGCAAUGCCUUUAAAGGGAAUGCCACAUGUGUUUCCAAUUCCUAAAGACGCCACCACUCCAAGCCACUCCAAGUGGUUGGAGUUCCUGAUUCCCUACCAGCAAAAGAAAUGUAUAUUAAUCUGCCAAUGACAUUUCACACUGGACUGUGAACAUGGAGCACUAUGCAGCUGGACUAGCCCACAAGCAAAAGUGCUUGUCUGUGUCAUAGCAUAGAGUAAGCGGGUUGCUAAUAGCCUUUUCCCACCACAGUUAGUGUUUUUUCUACACGCUGGUAGUCCCGCAAAACACAUGACCGAUGCUAAAUGCUGAAAUGCUGACGCUACUUACUAGAGAUGAGAUAAUGCAUUUUUGCCAGAUAAGAGUAUAUUUUGGCAUUAUUCAUAUUUGUGUUUAAGAAAACGCUCAUUAUUCACUCUUCACGCUCUGUGAUUGGCCAUCGCACACAACGACCCCCCUCUCCCGAGACGUGCUGCAGCCACAGGGAAGCUCAGCAGUGCUUCACAAGGGGCGAUUGGGUUUAAAACAACACAGAGUUGGUCACAAUGCCUCCAAUUUAGUAGGUUUUCUUCAGCUCGUCUCUAUUUUGGUUUACGUAUAUCUAAAGUUACUUGGUAAAUGUGUUCCGUAACAUACUGUGCAGCACUGUACAGACCUACAUUGACUGGCCACAACAUGGUACACAGCAUUUGGUAGACGCACAAGGGCGGCAUCAAGGAUUCUGUAUUUAUGGCUGGCAUAAAUAUUAUUCUCCUCUCAAUAUGUUGCAGUAUGCGCCUUGCACUCUUAA